rnacentral:rRNA from 1 species
CCUUGACAUACUAAGAACUUUCCAGAGAUGGAUUGGUGCUUUCGGGAACUUAGAUACAGGUGCUGCAUGGCUGUCGUCAGCUCGUGUCGUGAGAUGUUGGGUUAAGUCCCGCAACGAGCGCAACCCUUUUCCUUAUUUGCCAGCGGGUCAUGCCGGGAACUUUAAGGAUACUGCCAGUGACAAACUGGAGGAAGGCGGGACGACGUCAAGUCAUCAUGGCCCUUACGGCCAGGGCUACACACGUGCUACAAUGGUCGGUACAAAGGGUUGCUACCUCGCGAGAGGAUGCUAAUCUCAAAAAGCCGAUCGUAGUCCGGAUCGCAGUCUGCAACUCGACUGCGUGAAGUCGGAAUCGCUAGUAAUCGCGGAUCAGAAUGCCGCGGUGAAUACGUUCCCGGGCCUUGUACACACCGCCCGUCACACCAUGGGAGUUUGUUGCACCAGAAGUAGGUAGUCUAACCGCAAGGAGGACGCUUACCACGGUGUGGCCGAUGACUGGGGUGAAGUCGUAACAAGGUAGGCGUAGAUGA